UACAGAGGUCUCAAGCGUUGUUCGGAUUCAUUGGGCGUAAAGGGUGUGUAGGUGGCGCCGUAAGUCGGGUGUGAAAUUUCGGAGCUUAACUCCGAAACUGCAUUCGAUACUGCGGUGCUUGAGGACUGGAGAGGAGACUGGAAUUCAUGGUGUAGCAGUGAAAUGCGUAGAUAUCUGGAGGAACACCGGUGGCGAAGGCGGCAUCCUGGACCGACACUGACACUGAGGAGCGAAAGCCAGGGGAGCAAACGGG
rnacentral:rRNA from 1 species